AGUAAAAGUCGUAACAAGGUUUCCGUAGGUGAACCUGCGGAAGGAUCAUUACCGAGUGAGGGCCCUUUGGGUCCAACCUCCCACCCGUGUUUAUUUUACCUUGUUGCUUCGGCGGGCCCGCCUUUACUGGCCGCCGGGGGGCUCACGCCCCCGGGCCCGCGCCCGCCGAGGACACCCCCGAACUCUGUCUGAAGAUUGAAGUCUGAGUGAAAAUAUAAAUUAUUUAAAACUUUCAACAACGGAUCUCUUGGUUCCGGCAUCGAUGAAGAACGCAGCGAAAUGCGAUACGUAAUGUGAAUUGCAAAUUCAGUGAAUCAUCGAGUCUUUGAACGCACAUUGCGCCCCCUGGUAUUCCGGGGGGCAUGCCUGUCCGAGCGUCAUUGCUGCCCUCAAGCCCGGCUUGUGUGUUGGGCCCCGUCCUCCGAUUCCGGGGGACGGGCCCGAAAGGCAGCGGCGGCACCGCGUCCGGUCCUCGAGCGUAUGGGGCUUUGUCACCCGCUCUGUAGGCCCGGCCGGCGCUUGCCGAUCAACCCAAAUUUUUAUCCAGGUUGACCUCGGAUCAGGUAGGGAUACCCGCUGAACUUAAGCAUAUCAAUAAGCGGAGGA
rnacentral:rRNA from 1 species